GUCCUGGUAGCUCAGCUGGAUAGAGCACCGCCCUCCUAAGGCGGGUGUCGGAGGUUCGAAUCCUCUUCAGGACG
rnacentral:tRNA from 1 species